ACCUGCAGCUGUAGGCAACUGCCUAGGUUGCCUUGUAACUAGGGAAGUGUUACAUUGCAGGGAGAAAAGCAGCCAGUAGCUGGCUGGCAAUAUU
rnacentral:snoRNA from 1 species